rnacentral:rRNA from 1 species
GGGACACCCCUCGGGUUCUCUGUUAGAUAGCAUGCAUGUCUAAGUAUAAACAACUUUAUACUGUGAAACUGCGAACGGCUCAUUAUAUCAGCAAUUAUUUAUUUGAUGGUUUCUUACUACAUGGAUAACCGUAGUAAUUCUAGAGCUAAUACAUGCGUAAAGUCUCGACUCUUGCGGGGAGGGAUGUAUUUAUUAGAUUAAAAGCCAACGCGGGUUCGUCCCGGUCUUUUGGUGAGUCAUAGUAACUGUUCGAAUCGCAUGGCCUUGCGCCGGCGAUAGUUCAUUCAAAUUUCUGCCCUAUCAGCUUUCGACGGUAGUGUAGUGGACUACCGUGGCAUUCACGGGUGACGGAGAAUUAGGGUUCGAUUCCGGAGAGGGAGCCUGAAAAACGGCUACACAUCCAAGGAAGGCAGCAGGCGCGCAAAUUACCCAAUCCUGACACAGGGAGGUAAUGACAAUAAAUAACAAUACCGGGCCCGUUCCGGUCUGGAAUUGAAAUG